rnacentral:lncRNA from 1 species
CAAAAAUAAAGGCUUUAAACUCAAAGCUGGAGUCAAAUUCUCGAACAUGACUUCCCUUCUUUUGGCUAGCCCUCAAUUUCUCAUUUAUAGCUUUUAUUAGAGACCCAGAAGCCACAAUUUUGCUAGCCAACAUUUUCUAUCUAUGAAAUCUAGGUUUUGGGGAAACACUAGAAGGAGUAGAUGAAGACGUAUUAGAAGGGGAUACUGGUGGGGUUAUGCCUGGAUUAUCUUGGGGGUUAGUCAUGGUGAAUUAUUUUUGGAGAAGAUUUGGGGAUUUUGGAGAGAAAAGAGAUGAUCAGAAUUAG